rnacentral:rRNA from 1 species
GGGAUUCCCCUAGUAGCGGCGAGCGAAGCGGGAAGAGCUCAAAUUUAUAAUCUGGCACCUUCGGUGUCCGAGUUGUAAUCUCUAGAAAUGUUUUCCGCGCUGGACCGCACACAAGUCUGUUGGAAUACAGCGGCAUAGUGGUGAGACCCCCGUAUAUGGUGCGGAUGCCCAGCGCUUUGUGAUACAUUUUCGAAGAGUCGAGUUGUUUGGGAAUGCAGCUCAAAUUGGGUGGUAAAUUCCAUCUAAAGCUAAAUAUUGGCGAGAGACCGAUAGCGAACAAGUACCGUGAGGGAAAGAUGAAAAGCACUUUGGAAAGAGAGUUAACAGUACGUGAAAUUGUUGGAAGGGAAACGCUUGAAGUCAGACUUGCUUGCCGAGCAAUCGGUUUGCAGGCCAGCAUCAGUUUUCCGGGAUGGAUAAUGGUAGAGAGAAGGUAGCAGUUUCGGCUGUGUUAUAGCUCUCUACUGGAUACAUCUUGGGGGACUGAGGAACGCAGUGUGCCUUACGGCGGGGGUUUCGACCUCUUCACACUUAGGAUGCUGGUGGAAUGGCUUUAAACGACCCGUCUUGAAACACGGACC